rnacentral:rRNA from 1 species
UACAGGGGGGGCAAGCGUUGUUCGGAAUUACUGGGCGUAAAGGGCUCGUAGGCGGCCAACUAAGUCCGACGUGAAAUCCCAAAGCUUAACUUUGGAACUGCGUCGGAUACUGGAUGGCUUGAAUUCGGGAGAGGGAUGCAGAAUUCCAGGUGUAGCGGUGAAAUGCGUAGAUAUCUGGAGGAAUACCGGUGGCGAAGGCGGCAUCCUGGACCGACAUUGACGCUGAGGAGCGAAAACUAGGGGAGCAAACGGG